rnacentral:hammerhead_ribozyme from 1 species
CAACAGACGUGGAGUCCCAUAAUAGGACGAAACGGCCGUCCAGUGU